rnacentral:rRNA from 1 species
GAUGAACGCUGGCGGCGUGCUUAACACAUGCAAGUCGAACGAAGCAUUUAGGACAGAUUACUUCGGUUUGAAGUUCUUUAUGACUGAGUGGCGGACGGGUGAGUAACGCGUGGGUAACCUGCCUUGUACUGGGGGAUAGCAGCUGGAAACGGCUGGUAAUACCGCAUAAGCGCACAAUGUUGCAUGACAUGGUGUGAAAAACUCCGGUGGUAUAAGAUGGACCCGCGUCUGAUUAGCUAGUUGGUGAGAUAACAGCCCACCAAGGCGACGAUCAGUAGCCGACCUGAGAGGGUGACCGGCCACAUUGGGACUGAGACACGGCCCAGACUCCUACGGGAGUCAGCAGUGGGGAAUAUUGCACAAUGGAGGAAACUCUGAUGCAGCGACGCCGCGUGAGUGAAGAAGUAACUCGUUAUGUAAAGCUCUAUCAGCAGGGAAGAUAGUGACGGUACCUGACUAAGAAGCUCCGGCUAAAUACGUG